rnacentral:rRNA from 2 species
GGAAGGAUCAUUGCAUCUAUCAAUAACCACACCGUGAACCUUUUUUGUCUGGCCCACCAAUUCUCUUUGGAGUUUUGGUGCUUCCUGGGCAGCAUUAACUUGCUGUCUGGGUUGGGCUCGGCUGCCCAAAUCCAAUUUGGGUUGUCGGGUUGGUCCUCUUACUAACCAACAACACCAAACAAAAACUAAAGCCAAAGAUAUGUGAUCGGCCUAGCCGUCACAUCCUAACUGAGACAACUCUCAACAACGGAUAUCUUGGCUCUCGCAACGAUGAAGAACGCAGCGAAAUGCGAUACGUAGUGUGAAUUGCAGAAUUCCGUGAAUCAUCAAAUCUUUGAACGCAAAUUGCGUCCGCGGCUUCGGCCAAGGGCAUGUUUGCCUCAGCGUCGGGUUAAUCUCACUAACCACUCCCCCAUGCGAGGAGUAUAGUUAGUGGACCUGGCUGUUCCAGAGCUUGGGUGCUUCACUGCCCCCAGUAAAGGCUCUGGAUCAGCUGAAGAGCAGAGGCUAGCUCAAGGACCCGUCAAGGGCCGCAACUGGGUAGGCAGCAAUCGCUCGCUAUUUCUAGUUGUUGGCUUGGGACCAUGGGCUUGGCCCUCAAACAGGAACCCUUCUUUUUUCUCGACCUGAGCUCAAGCAAGACCACCCGCUGAACUUAAGCAUAUCAAUA